rnacentral:lncRNA from 1 species
GGAGUCUUGCUGCUACUGCUCUCAGGAGGCCCUGUGCCUGCCAGGAGUUGCACUCUGGCGCAGACUGCUGUCCUGGGUGGAGGCUCCACAGGAAAAGCAAAACAAUCCAGAAACUAACUUCUCCCUUCCUUCAGCUUUCCAGCCUCUUCCCAGCGCCUGCCCCUUGGACAGCCUCACCGGAAGGAAGCUGACCCAGGAGCUGGGGAAUGUAGCUUGCAGGCUUCCACACCCCUGCAGUGGAAGAGAGAACACGGAGGACAGAAAUGGAGCUGACAGCUAACAGACAAACAACCAGCCUCAGUGGAGACAACAAUGAAACCCACCUUGUGUAGUGGCUGUGAGAUAAUAAACAGGCCGAGUUGGUGAAGCCAUAGAACAAUGCCUGGUACAUUGUAAACAAUCGCUGUUAACUAUUAUUACUAAUAUCCAAUGACUUCAGGGAAAGGGGCAUAAACAUUAAUAACAAUCAGAUUUACAUUUGAGAAACUUCAGCAGGGGGUGAUGGGAGAAUAAGAACAUUUAUGAGUCAUAGGAGAGGCAGGGCCCACUUAGGAGGUGAAUGCACCAUUUGUUCAGUCAGGGUAGAGAAAAAGAAAUUAA